rnacentral:rRNA from 1 species
CCUGCUCAGAUUGAACGCUAGCGGGAUGCUUUACACAUCAAGUCGAACGGCAGCACGAGAGAGCUUGCUCUCUUGGUGGCGAGUGGCGGACGGGUGAGUAAUAUAUCGGAACGUGCCCAGUAGCGGGGGAUAACUACUCGAAAGAGUGGCUAAUACCGCAUACGCCCUACGGGGGAAAGGGGGGGAUUUUCGGAACCUCUCACUAUUGGAGCGGCCGAUAUCGGAUUAGCUAGUUGGUGGGGUAAAGGCUCACCAAGGCAACGAUCCGUAGCUGGUUUGAGAGGACGACCAGCCACACUGGGACUGAGACACGGCCCAAGACUCCUACGGGAGGCAGCAAGUGGGGAAUUUUUGGACAAUGGGGGAAAC